rnacentral:rRNA from 1 species
GCCAACAUUCAUAAAAUUCCACCUCUUCCUUGAACCAAAACAUUCCACGUACUUAGUAUAGGCGAUAGAAAGGACACCCCCCCCCCCACCAAACAGGCGCAAUAGAGACACGUACCGUAAGGGAAAGAUGAAAUAAUAAUGAAAACUCAAGCACAAAAUAGCAAAGAUUAACCCUUGUACCUUUUGCAUCAUGAUUCAGUAAGAACAACCAAGCAAAACGAACUUAAGCUUGCCACCCCGAAACCCAAGCGAGCUACUCACAAGCAGCUAUACACUGAGCGAACCCGUCUCUGUCGCAAAAGAGUGGGAUGACUUGUUAGUAGAGGUGAAAAGCCAACCGAGCUGGGUGAUAGCUGGUUGCCUGUGAAAUGAAUCUAAGUUCUACUCUGACAGCUCCUAUACUACCCUUUCCCUAACAAAUCCUGCAGCCACUCAGAAGCAACUUAAAGGGGGUACAGCCCCUUUAAAAAAGAACACAACCUCCCCCAGCGGAUAACCUCCAACCUCCCCUAAAAAUGUUGGCCUUCAAGCAGCCACCAACAAAGAGUGCGUCAAAGCUCACCCACCAAAAAAAUACAAAAACUAUGCGAAUCCCUACACCCCGUAACAGGCUAACCUAUCACAAUAGGAGAAUUAAUGCUGAAAUGAGUAACUAGGGACCCCCCCCCCCCCUCACAGGCGCAAACUUACAUUCCUCCAUUAUUACCCGAAACCAAGUAUAUCCACUCUCACAAGAUCUCAUACUUUUUCCCCCGUUAGACCAACUCAGGAGCGCCCAACAUGAAAGAUUUAAAUCUGUAGAAGGAACUCGGCAAACCCCCGGGCCCGACUGUUUACCAAAAACAUAGCCUUCAGCCCACCAAGUAUUGAAGGUGAUGCCUGCCCAGUGACACUCAGUUCAACGGCCGCGGUAUCCUAACCGUGCGAAGGUAGCGCAAUCAAUUGUCUCAUAAAUCGAGACUUGUAUGAAUGGCUAAACGAGGCCCCAACUGUCUCCUAUAGAUAAUCAGUGAAAUUGAUCUCCCCGUGCAAAAGCGGGGAUAAGAACAUUAGACGAGAAGACCCUGUGGAACUUCAAAAUCAACGGCCACAUCUCUCAACCUCCAAGCCUACCAGGCCCACUACCCAACCCCCACUGCUGGCCCACAUUUUUCGGCUGGGGCGGCCCUGGAGAAAAACAAAUCCUCCAGAAACAAGACCUACACUCUUAACCAAGAGCAACCCCUCAACGUGCUAACAGCCACCAGACCCAGUACAACUGACCAAUGAACCAAGCUACCCCAGGGAUAACAGCGCAAUCCCCUUCAAGAGCCCCUAUCGACAAGGGGGUUUACGACCUCGAUGUUGGAUCAGGACAUCCUAAUGGUGCAGCCGCUAUUAAGGGUUCGUUUGUUCAACGAUUAACAGUCCUACGUGAUCUGAGUUCAGACCGGAGCAAUCCAGGUCGGUUUCUAUCUAUGACGAACUUUCCCCAGUACGAAAGGACCGGGGAAGUAAGGCCCAUGCUCCAAGCACGCCUUCCUCUCAAGUACGGAAUCCAACUAAACUGCCUAAAGAGCCCCCAACACUUGUCCCAGAUAAAGGACC